CCCUUAGAUGUUCUGGGCCGCACGCGCGCUACACUGAUGCAUUCAACAAGUUUUACCUUGGCCGAGAGGCCUGGGAAAUCUUUCAAAUAUGUAUCGUGAUAGGGAUAGAUUAUUGCAAUUAUUAAUCUUGAACGAGGAAUUCCUAGUAAAUGCAGAUCAUCAUUCUGCGUUGAUUACGCCCCUGCCCUUUGUACACACCGCCCGUCGCACCUACCGAUUGAAUGAUCCGGUGAAGCCUCGGGAUUGUGCCCAGAGAACUUUAUUGUGAUUUGGGUGUGAGAACUUGUCUAAACCUUAUCAUUUAGAGGAAGGUGAAGUCGUAACA
rnacentral:rRNA from 1 species